rnacentral:snRNA from 1 species
CACAGUAUAUCUGUGCGAUUCAAAACUGGAACUGUAUAGAUAAGCUUAGCAUGGCCCCUGCACCAGGAUGAUACUUUUGGACUUUGAAAAUAUUACUAAAUUU